UUGACCUCAAAUCAGGUAGGACUACCCGCUGAACUUAAGCAUAUCAAUAAGCGGAGGAAAAGAAACUAACGAGGAUUCCCCUACUCACUGCGAGUGAAGCGGGAAAAGCUCAAAUUUGAAAUCUGGCGGUUCUUUGACCGUCCGAGUUGUAAUCUAGAGAAGUGUUACCAGUGCUGGACCGUGUACAAGUCUUCUGGAAUGGAGCAUCACAGAGGGUGAGAAUCCCGUCUUUGACAUGGACUGCCAGUGCGACUUGAUGGUGCGCUCUCAAAGAGUCGAGUUGUUUGGGAAUGCAGCUCAAAAUGGGUGGUAAAUGCCAUCUAAAGCUAAAUAUUGGCGAGAGACCGAUAGCGAACAAGUACCGUGAGGGAAAGAUGAAAAGAACUUUGGAAAGAGAGUUAAACAGUACGUGAAAUUGCUGAAAGGGAAACGCUUGAAGUCAGUCGCGUCUGCUAGAAAUCAGCCAUUUGCUCUUGCUUGGUGUACUUUCUGGUUGGACGGGUCAGCAUCAAUUUUGACCGCUGGAUAAAGUCUUUUUGGGAAUGUGGCAUCCCUUUGGAUGUGUUAUAGCCCAUGGUCGCAUACAGUGGUUGGGAUUGAGGAACUCAGCACGCCGCAAGGCUCGGGUCAUUUUUUUGACCACGUUUUUAAAGUGCUUAGGAUGCUGGCAUAAUGGCUUUAAUCGACCCGUC
rnacentral:rRNA from 1 species